rnacentral:lncRNA from 9 species
GCUAUUGACAAAGACUCUGGUCUCCCUCCCUGCCUUCUCUCCCCCUCACCUCUUUCUCCAUUGUACCCUCUCCUCCCACCUUCGGUUCACUUGAAGACUAGUGUUUAUGGCAUUGCUGUGAGGCUGAAUAACUUCAGGACCACUGAAUCCUCAAUCUUCAGAAAAGAUUCAACCAACUGUGAAUCCCGUGCUAUGUUUACCAUCAGAGGUUGGUGAAGCUGCAGAUGUGGAACCACUGGAUACAGAGAGCUGACUAUGGAACUUGAGCAUCAUCAGAUUUUGUAUCUGCUGUGGGUCCUGGAACCAAUCCCCUAAGGCUACCAAGGUACGACUGUAUCAUAAAAUAGUGAUGAGAAAUGCUGACUUAUCUUGAGAAGAACUUAAGUAUUCAGCCAAGUGCCGUCUCUCAUCAUGGACUCAUAGGAUCCAAGCUUCCAGUUAUUGCAGGAAUUGAAAGUUGAUGUGAUAAAGUCCCAAUGCUGUAACGGAAAUAGUAUUCCAAAAAGUGAGAGAAGUUGAGGACUACCUCAAGAUGCAAACAUGAAAGAUUUGUCACAAUUUACUUAUUCUUUGCUUUCUUUUAGGGAUGGAACAAGAUUAAAGGUCAACCCAGGAAGAAAAUAAUAUAGUUGGCUUCCUCCCUCAUCCAAUUCCAUGUUUUCAUUUCCCACAUUAAACAUUUUUGACAUUUAUAUUCACAUGGAAUUGAUUUUGAGAAUAAAGAGACCAUUCUAAUCAUACUGUAUUCCAAAUGGUUAGAACCAAUAUACCAUUUAUGUAAUAAAGCUUUCUAUUUCCACUAGUUUGAAAUUCGUAUUAUACCAUAUACCUCUUGACCUAAAACAAAUAGGCUGCCAGUUAUUUCUCCAGCAAA